GUCUUUUUGUUAAUUAUUUAAGGUUUGGCCUGCUCCAUGAUUUAAUUAAAUAGCCGCAGUAUCUUGACUGUGCAAAGGUAGCAUAAUCAUUAGUUUCUUAAUUGGAAGCUGGAAUGAAGGGCUGGAUGAGAAAGAAGCUGUCUCAUUGUGAUUGGAUUUGAAUUUUAUUUUUAAGUUAAAAAGCUUAAAUUUUAUAGAAAGACGAGAAGACCCUAUAGAGUUUAAUAGGCUGGGAUUUAAUUUUUUGAGGAUUUUAAUCUGAUUGUUUUUUAGUCUGUUUGGUUGGGGUGACAUGAGAAUUGGGAAAACUUCUUAUAAUUUCAACAUUGAUUUAUGAAUAAAUGAUCCUGGGAUUCGGAUUUAAAGAUAAAAUUACCUUAGGGAUAACAGCGUAAUCUUUUUGGAGAGUUCUAAUCGAUAAAAGGGAUUGCGACCUCGAUGUUGGAUUAAAGUUAAUUUUUGGUGCAGAAGCUGAAAUUUUGAGUCUGUUCGACUCUUGAAACUUUACAUGAUCUGAGUUUAAACCGGCGUGAGCCAGGUUGGUUUCUAUCUUUUAUAGAUAAAAUACUUUAGUACGAAAGGACCAGGUAUUUGAAUAAUAUUUUGUAUUUGAAUAGAAUUGUUAUUUUGGCAGAUUAGUGCGAUGGAUUUAGAAUCUUUAUAUGUAAUAUAUUACAGGUAACAAUUUAUUUUAUUGAUUUAAUUAUAUUAUUUGUUUCGGCGUUGGUUUUAAUUGUGUGUGUUUUGGUGGGCGUAGCUUUUUUAACACUUUUGGAGCGUAAGGUUUU
rnacentral:rRNA from 1 species